GGGACAGGAGUUCUAAUAGUGUAGAGGUUAGCACGUGCUCUUGGAAAGGAUAAGACGCGGGUUCAGCUCCCGCCUGAGAUCCA